UGUACACACCGCCCGUCACACCAUGGGAGUUGGUUGUACCAGAAGCAGGUAGCCUAACCGCAAGGGGGGCGCCUACCACGGUAUGGUCAAUGACUGGGGUG
rnacentral:rRNA from 1 species